ACAACAGAGCCUCAGGGUCAUGUAUCCGUGCGGACAACUGUUAACCCCCAUCCACUCUCCUUUCCUUUCAUUACUUGUCUCUUCAAGGGGACAGUCGAGAGAAGGAGACGUCUUUGUAAAAAAAAAAAAUGGAAUGGAAGCCUGUUUUUUUCUCUUGGGGGACAUCAUAAUGAUUUGAUUUACUGGCGGUCAUUUGAUCAACAGCGUACGCUCCACUCCCUAAACACACACUCCUCCUCGAGAAACUAUCAGCGACAGACGCACGCAAGAAGGUGCAGGCUGCCGGACAUCUCGGGGCUGGAAUCACAUUUAUUCUCAUUAGACUGCGAUAGUGUCAGCUGGAGGCAGGGGAGGCACGAGCCAGGGUCAUAAAAACUACCUCACUACCUCUUCCCGCCAUUACCUCAUACAGAUCACAUCACACCCAGUCAGCCAUUCUCCAGUCAACGCCGAAGCUGCACACUGGUGUAUGUUUUCAAUGUGCAUCGUUUUUUGUUUUUUUUUGCCGGCCACUUUUACCGGCUACUUGUCAAACUACCAAACAGGGAAGGAAAUGGCCUGUCAUCAGCCUUCAAACAUAAAGCAAUUUCUAACAGGUUUUGAGGUUGGCGACAGUGGAGGUCAAUAGAGAUGGCUCCACGAGAUGAACUGGCUCGCUCCCCCGAGACAUGAGUUCUCAGUGAGGCCCAUUGAUAGAUGAAGUGUGUGAGGGAUCGGUUCGGGCCCGUGUUCAAUCAAACUUCAUGGCUUACAUUACAGUGGAUGAGGCAUGGGCACUUCAUGGGACCUGUUUUAUGUUCUGUAGGCCCUGGAGCAUGGCAUUGUUUGCACUGAAGAGCAGCUAUAACUGUGAAGUCUGUAAAGACGUGACUCAUCUCCAAUCUGCAGUCCAAGUCAGAAGUGAAUGCUAUAAUGUCAAGUCUCAAAGACUCUAACAUGUGCCAAGUCAGAUUCACAAUAUCUCUGCUUAACGUCCUCUCUAGAGAAAAUAUUUUCCUUUAGUAACAUAUUGAUGUAUACUACCAUACUUUGGGUAAGUUAAUACUUUCAUUCAGCAAUGAUAUGUUACA